CCUUCUCUACAGGUCACCAAGUCUUUAUUCAGAUUGAGGACCUUGCAACAUAACUUCUAAGUCAAGCUGCACCUGAAAUCAGAUGAUGGAGGGACUGGGCAGCAAACCAGAACCUGAGAGGGAUAAAGGUUUG